rnacentral:rRNA from 1 species
AGAGUUUGAUUAUGGCUCAGGAUGAACGCUAGCGAUAGGCCUAACACAUGCAAGUCGAGGGGCAUCAAGAUGUAGCAAUACAUUGUUGGCGACCGGCGCACGGGUGAGUAACACGUAUGCAAUCUACCUAUAACAGGGGGAUAACCCGGCGAAAGUCGGACUAAUACCCCAUAACACAGGGAUGCCGCAUGGCAAUAUUUGUUAAAGAUUAAUCGGUUAUAGAUGAGCAUGCGUUCCAUUAGCCAGUUGGUGAGGUAACGGCUCACCAAAGCAACGAUGGAUAGGGGAACUGAGAGGUUUAUCCCCCACACUGGAACUGAGACACGGACCAGACUCCUACGGGAGGCAGCAGUGAGGAAUAUUGGUCAAUGGACGAGAGUCUGAACCAGCCAAAUCGCGUGAAGGAAGACUGCCCUAUGGGUUGUAAACUUCUUUUAUAUGAGAAUAAAAAGAGUUACGUGUAACUCAUUGCAAGUAUCAUAUGAAUAAGGAUCGGCUAACUCCGUGCCAGCAGCCGCGGUAAUACGGAGGAUCCAAGCGUUAUCCGGAUUUAUUGGGUUUAAAGGGUGCGCAGGCGGGACCAUAAGUCAGCGGUGAAAUCUCGACGCUUAACGUCGACACUGCCGUUGAAACUGUGAUUCUUGAGUAUAGAUGAAGUAGGCGGAAUUCGUUGUGUAGCGGUGACAUGCUUAGAUAUAACGAGGAACACCAAUUGCGUAGGCAGCUUACUAAACUAUAACUGACGCUCAUGCACGAAAGCGUGGGGAUCAAACAGGAUUAGAUACCCUGGUAGUCCACGCCGUAAACGAUGAUUACUAGUUGUUUGCAAUACACCGCAUGUGACUAAGCGAAAGCGAUAAGUAAUCCACCUGGGGAGUACGCUGGCAACAGUGAAACUCAAAGGAAUUGACGGGGGCCCGCACAAGCGGAGGAACAUGUGGUUUAAUUCGAUGAUACGCGAGGAACCUUACUCGGGCUUGAAAUGCAUCUGACAGGA